AAUUUUCUCUUUAGGUAUUUGAGUUAGCCCAAUUAGGCCCAAUUAGAAUAGUAGACCCAUAACGUGAUAUUAUUAGGGUUCAGUACAGAGCUUCUCUCUCCAUACUUCGCUCUCCGUUACUCUCCAUCGGCACCGAUCGGAGAUGAGGGAUUCCGUUUGCUAAUAGGCCGUUCAGUGGUCCAAAUCGGCUUCAUUAUCAUCUCAGCUUCACUCACAGAAAUAUUAUCAACAACCUGAUCGCUGAUCGGACAUCGGAGCGGAGGCAUUUCACUCUCAGGUUUAUUACAGUCUGUCAAAAUCGCAAGAGCUGCAGUUACUUUGGCCACAGGACUGUUGAAGAAGGCAGGGGCUGAGGCUACUCUAUAGUUUACUUAAUCACAAGAAGCUUGAUGGCUGGAAUUUCAGGAUUCGCGAGCCUUGGACCUAAGACCAAGAACUUUGUAGUUGCCGGUGGAUUGACAUCAUUCGUCUUUGGGGUAUAUUUCUACACAAUGAGGGCUGUGGGAGGUACAGAUGAGCUGCAAGUGGCCAUAGAUAAGUUUGAGGAUCAGAAGAACAAGAAAGAGGCUGAACCAAAUUUGCCAUCUAAAGCUUAAUAACAUGUUUAAUUGUACUUCGUUUGUUGUCUAAAACGGAAAUAAGAUUUUUCUCGAUACUCUUUCUUUACAAUAAGCUUUUUUUGCUGGCGUAAUAUGUAAUAUUUCUUCAUUAAAUGUCUAAUAACACUACAGAAAUUUUGUUCACUUACAUGCCAAGCACAUAUUAUUUUUAACCUUGAACGUUGGUAAAGAGAGAUUUCAAAGUUCAAACGCAGUGAGUUUUAUCAGGUUUGGAUUUUAGAUGGUUUAUUUCUUAUUUGGAACAAGGUUACUAUACUCAAACUAGUGAAAAUAUAAAGACUUAUUAAGAGUAUAUAAAUCAGAGUCUGAAAACAAUGGGAGGGUUAAUGAAAGGUGUGUUCAUAAUAAUGAUCAAUCUAACAAUGGGAGGGUCUUUUGUAAACAAGAUAAAUCACAACUAUUCCAUUUCUAAAAAAUUUUAGUAAAUAACAUAUUACAAAUAUUAAUUCCGAUUAUUUUUCAUUUAUUUUGUUACAUUUCUCCAUUAAUUUAUUCCAAUUCUGAUUACUGAUUACUGUAUAGUUAAUGUGCCAUAAAGUACUUAAAACGACACUUUUUUUUUUCCUUUCGUUGAAAAACACAAAUUAUUUAUUUAUUUACAUUUUUACUAAAAACAAUAAUGUAAACGUACAUCAACAUGCAACCAAUUAAGAGUUUAUUAGACCAUAUUUAAUAUUUUUAAGCAUAUUCAGAUUCAAUUUAAUUAUAUAUUAAUUGAUAAAUUUUACUAUUUGAUCUUAUUCAAUUUAAUAUUUUUAAGCAUACCCAUUAUAUGCCUUAAGUUAAUUUAAAUUAUAUGUUAAACUUAAGUGGAAGAUGAAAGUAUAUUGGGCAAUCCACUCAUUAAAUUAAGUAUAUUUUAAUGAAAUAUAAUUUGAGGAUAGUUUUGAGUAAUGGAUUAAAAAAAAAGGGUAUAUUGAGAAAUACCUCUUUUAUUUAUUAAUUAACCAAAACUACCUCUACUUUUAUAUUUAAUUGAAACAUACCUCUUUUUAUAUGUAUUAUACCCAAAAUACCCUGAUAUAAGGGAGUCACAUGGAGAGUAUAUUGAGGUGACAGGGGUAAAAUCGGUAAAGUAUUAAAAAAAAAGGUAAAAAUGAUAGAUUUUAAAAAAUAAGAUAACAAUAAAAGAGGUUAAUAUAAAAAAGGUAUAGAGUCUAAUUUUCUCAAAAAAAAAAAAAAAAAGUAUUUCUAAACUUAUCCAUUUGUGGGCCUUAAGUAUUUGAGUUAGCCCAAUUAGGCCCAAUUAGAAUAGUACACCCAUAACGUGAUAUUAUUAGGGUUCAAUACAGAGCUUCUCUCUCCAUACUUCGCUCUCCGUUACUCUCCAUCGGCACCGAUCGGAGAUGAGGGAUUCCGUUUGCUAAUAGGCCGUUCAGUUGUCCAAAUCGGCUUCAUUAUCAUCUCAGCUUCACUCACAGUCUAACUCGAUCGCUUUCUCACUAAACCCUAGAAAUAUUAUCAACAACCUGAUCGCUGAUCGGACAUCGGAGCGGAGGCAUUUCACUCUCAGGUUUAUUACAGUCUG